rnacentral:misc_RNA from 1 species
AUGAGUGCUAUGACAUGGAGCUGUAUGAGUGGACUAGGGUGGACAUCUCCGAUGAAGCUCAGAAGGAGCGAGUUAGUGCCAUGAUCGAGGACCAGGAGCCCUUCGAGGGUGAGGCUCUAUUGGAUGCGAAGUGUUUCAAGUGAAGAUGGGGGAUGACAUCCAAGUCUUGCUGGGUACCUAUUUCAUUUUGAUGAAACUUAAUUAAGUCGCUAUAUAGUUUUUUCGGCUAUGUUUUGAUUGUCUAGAGGAUGUGUUUUCUGACAUCAAAUUUCAUUGACAGUUUUGUGUUUCUUUUCUGCUACUGUUAGCGUGUUUUUGUGUGAUGGGGCUCUUGUUACAAUCUGU